rnacentral:rRNA from 1 species
ACGCUAGCUACAGGCUUAACACAUGCAAGUCGAGGGGCAGCAUGGUCUUAGCUUGCUAAGGCCGAUGGCGACCGGCGCACGGGUGAGUAACACGUAUCCAACCUGCCGUCUACUCUUGGACAGCCUUCUGAAAGGAAGAUUAAUACAAGAUGGCAUCAUGAGUCCGCAUGUUCACAUGAUUAAAGGUAUUCCGGUAGACGAUGGGGAUGCGUUCCAUUAGAUAGUAGGCGGGGUAACGGCCCACCUAGUCUUCGAUGGAUAGGGGUUCUGAGAGGAAGGUCCCCCACAUUGGAACUGAGACACGGUCCAAACUCCUACGGGAGGCAGCAGUGAGGAAUAUUGGUCAAUGGGCGAGAGCCUGAACCAGCCAAGUAGCGUGAAGGAUGACUGCCCUAUGGGUUGUAAACUUCUUUUAUAAAGGAAUAAAGUCGGGUAUGGAUACCCGUUUGCAUGUACUUUAUGAAUAAGGAUCGGCUAACUCCGUGCCAGCAGCCGCGGUAAUACGGAGGAUCCGAGCGUUAUCCGGAUUUAUUGGGUUUAAAGGGAGCGUAGAUGGAUGUUUAAGUCAGUUGUGAAAGUUUGCGGCUCAACCGUAAAAUUGCAGUUGAUACUGGAUAUCUUGAGUGCAGUUGAGGCAGGCGGAAUUCGUGGUGUAGCGGUGAAAUGCUUAGAUAUCACGAAGAACUCCGAUUGCGAAGGCAGCCUGCUAAGCUGCAACUGACAUUGAGGCUCGAAAGUGUGGGUAUCAAACAGGAUUAGAUACCCUGGUAGUCCACACGGUAAACGAUGAAUACUCGCUGUUUGCGAUAUACAGCAAGCGGCCAAGCGAAAGCGUUAAGUAUUCCACCUGGGGAGUACGCCGGCAACGGUGAAACUCAAAGGAAUUGACGGGGGCCCGCACAAGCGGAGGAACAUGUGGUUUAAUUCGAUGAUACGCGAGGAACCUUACCCGGGCUUAAAUUGCAGAUGAAUUACGGUGAAAGCCGUAAGCCGCAAGGCAUCUGUGAAGGUGCUGCAUGGUUGUCGUCAGCUCGUGCCGUGAGGUGUCGGCUUAAGUGCCAUAACGAGCGCAACCCCUGUUGUCAGUUACUAACAGGUUCCGCUGAGGACUCUGACAAGACUGCCAUCGUAAGAUGUGAGGAAGGUGGGGAUGACGUCAAAUCAGCACGGCCCUUACGUCCGGGGCUACACACGUGUUACAAUGGGGGGUACAGAGGGCCGCUACCACGCGAGUGGAUGCCAAUCCCCAAAACCUCUCUCAGUUCGGACUGGAAUCUGCAACCCGACUCCACGAAGCUGGAUUCGUUAGUAAUCGCGCAUCAGCCACGGCGCGGUGAAUACGUUCCCGGGCCUUGUACACACCGCCCGUCAAGCCAUGGGAGCCGGGGGUACCUGAAGUGCGUAACCGCGAGGAGCGCCCUAGGGUAAAACUGGUGACUGG